AUUGAACGCUGGCGGCAGGCCUAACACAUGCAAGUCGAGCGGAUGAAGGGAGCUUGCUCCUGGAUUCAGCGGCGGACGGGUGAGUAAUGCCUAGGAAUCUGCCUGGUAGUGGGGGAUAACGUCCGGAAACGGGCGCUAAUACCGCAUACGUCCUGAGGGAGAAAGUGGGGGAUCUUCGGACCUCACGCUAUCAGAUGAGCCUAGGUCGGAUUAGCUAGUUGGUGGGGUAAAGGCCUACCAAGGCGACGAUCCGUAACUGGUCUGAGAGGAUGAUCAGUCACACUGGAACUGAGACACGGUCCAGACUCCUACGGGAGGCAGCAGUGGGGAAUAUUGGACAAUGGGCGAAAGCCUGAUCCAGCCAUGCCGCGUGUGUGAAGAAGGUCUUCGGAUUGUAAAGCACUUUAAGUUGGGAGGAAGGGCAGUAAGUUAAUACCUUGCUGUUUUGACGUUACCAACAGAAUAACACCGCUAAUU
rnacentral:rRNA from 1 species